rnacentral:misc_RNA from 1 species
AACGCAUAUUGCGCUCUCUGGUAUUCCGGAGAGCAUGCUUGUUUGAGUAUCAGUAAACACCUCAACUCCCUUUUUUCUUUUUUGAAAAUGAGGGAGCUGGACUUGAGUGGUCCCAACACUUUUCUUCACUGAAAAGUGGCGGGUCACUUGAAAUGCAGGUGCAGCUGGACUUUUCUCUGAGCUAUAAGCAUAUCUAUUUAGUCUGCCUAAAAAACAGAUUAUUACCUUUGCUGCAGCUAACAUAAAGGAGAUGAGUUCUUGUGCUGACUGAUGCAGGAUUCACAGAGACAGCUUCGCGGCUGACUUUGUAAACUCGAUCUCAAAUCAAGUAAGACUACCCGCUGAACUUAA